rnacentral:rRNA from 1 species
GGGUUGUGAGGUUAAGCGACUAAGCGUACACGGUGGAUGCCCUGGCAGUCAGAGGCGAUGAAGGGCGUGCUAAUCUGCGAUAAGCGCCGGUAAGGUGAUAUGAACCGUUAUAACCGGCGAUACCCGAAUGGGGAAACCCAGUGUGACUCGUCACACUAUCAUUAACUGAAUCCAUAGGUUAAUGAGGCGAACCGGGGGAACUGAAACAUCUAAGUACCCCGAGGAAAAGAAAUCAACCGAGAUUCCCCCAGUAGCGGCGAGCGAACGGGGAGGAGCCCAGAGCCUGAAUCAGCAUGUGUGUUAGUGGAAGCGUCUGGAAAGGCGCGCGAUACAGGGUGACAGCCCCGUACACAAAAGCGCAUGUGCUGUGAGCUCGAUGAGUAGGGCGGGACACGUGGUAUCCUGUCUGAAUAUGGGGGGACCAUCCUCCAAGGCUAAAUACUCCUGACUGACCGAUAGUGAACCAGUACCGUGAGGGAAAGGCGAAAAGAACCCCGGCGAGGGGAGUGAAAAAGAACCUGAAACCGUGUACGUACAAGCAGUGGGAGCACCCUUUGGGUGUGACUGCGUACCUUUUGUAUAAUGGGUCAGCGACUUAUAUUCUGUAGCAAGGUUAACCGAAUAGGGGAGCCGGAGGGAAACCGAGUCUUAAUUGGGCGUUAAGUUGCAGGGUAUAGACCCGAAACCCGGUGAUCUAGCCAUGGGCAGGUUGAAGGUUGGGUAACACUAACUGGAGGACCGAACCGACUAAUGUUGAAAAAUUAGCGGAUGACCUGUGGCUGGGGGUGAAAGGCCAAUCAAACCGGGAGAU